GGUUGUGGCUCAGCGGUAGAGCGCUCGCCUGGCACAUGCGGGACCCUGGGUUCGAUCCUCAGCACCA
rnacentral:tRNA from 1 species